AUUGAACGCUGGCGGCAGGCCUAACACAUGCAAGUCGAGCGAGCGGCGGACGGGUGAGUAAUGUAUGGGGACUGCCCGAUAGAGGGGGAUAACUACUGGAAACGGUGGCUAAUACCGCAUACUAUCGGAUAACCCAUAUGGGAUUAGCUAGUAGGGGGGGUAAAGGCUCACCAAGGCGACGCUGUCUAGCUGGUCGGAGAGGAUGAUCAGCCACACUGGGACUGAGACACGGCCCAGACUCCUACGGGGGCAGCAGUGGGGAAUAUUGCGCAAUGGGCGCAAGCCUGAUGCAGCCACGCCGCGUGAGUGAAGAAGGCCUUAGGGUUGUAAAGUACUGUCGGCGGAGAGGCGUUACCCGCAGAAGAAGCACCGGCUAACUCCGUGCCAGCAGCCGCGGUAAUAC
rnacentral:rRNA from 1 species